GUACAAGUUCCGUAGUGACCUGCGGAGGAUCAUUA
rnacentral:rRNA from 1 species